AUACGUAGGGGGCGAGCGUUGUCCGGAAUGAUUGGGCGUAAAGGACGCGUAGGCGGCGCGGUAAGUCUGGAGUGAAAGUCCUGCUUUCAAGGUGGGAAUUGCUUUGGAUACUGCCGCGCUUGAGUGCAGGAGAGGUUAUCGGAAUUCCCGGUGUAGCGGUGAAAUGCGUAGAGAUCGGGAGGAACACCAGUGGCGAAGGCGGGUAACUGGACUGCAACUGACGCUGAGGCGCGAAAGUGUGGGGAGCAAACAGGAUUAGAUACCCUGGUAGUCCACACUGUAAACGAUGAAUGCUAGGUGUAAGAGGUAUCGACCCCUUUUGUGCCGGAGUCAACACAAUAAGCAUUCCGCCUGGGGAGUACGGCCGCAAGGUUGAAACUCAAAUGAAUUGACGGGG
rnacentral:rRNA from 1 species